UGUCAGGGUGAGAGGCGACUCGUCAAUGAUCGUGUAGAGAAGGCGAGCCGUGCCGACACCUAGAUUAACGAACACAUUUUCUAAGGCGAGCGAGUCUGCCCUACUUUAGGUCGGCUUGCCCGCCAAUUUUUGGAAGUCCACUUUCCCUAGUGGGCUCACAAAAGCCACAUAACUAACGACUUAAAUUUUUUUACCUCAUUUGAGUUAUCUCCCUUAUAAUUAGUUUAGAUAAUAAUAAUAUACCAGUAGUUUCCAUAUACAUUUUUUUAAAUAAUAUUAUGUGCACAAAUUUUAUAAAUAAAAUAUAUUAAGAUAUUAAGAUUAUUUCGGUGUAAAUCUUGUAAAAUAUUUAAUCGAAAACAUCUCUAUUUUUUUUCUUUUUAUUAUAAAAUAAGCAAAGG
rnacentral:lncRNA from 1 species